rnacentral:rRNA from 1 species
CCUACGUGCGGCAGCAGUGAGGAAUAUUGGUCAAUGGACGCAAGUCUGAACCAGCCAUGCCGCGUGCAGGAAGACGGCUCUAUGAGUUGUAAACUGCUUUUGUACGAGGGUAAACGCAGAUACGCGUAUCUGUCUGAAAGUAUCGUACGAAUAAGGAUCGGCUAACUCCGUGCCAGCAGCCGCGGUAAUACGGAGGAUUCAAGCGUUAUCCGGAUUUAUUGGGUUUAAAGGGUGCGUAGGCGGUCGGAUAAGUUAGAGGUGAAAUCCCGGGGCUCAACUUCGGAAUUGCCUCUGGUACUGUUCGGCUAGAGAGUAGUGGAGGUAGGCGGAAUGUAUGGUGUAGCGGUGAAAUGCUUAGAGAUGAUACAGAACACCGAUUGCGAAGGCAGCUUACCGAGCUACUUCUGACGUUGAGGCACGAAAGCGUGGGGAGCGAACAGGAUUAGAUACCCUAGUAGUC